rnacentral:rRNA from 1 species
GAUCCUGGCUCAGGAUAAACGCUAGCGGCAGGCCUAACACAUGCAAGUCGAGGGGCAGCAGGGAAGUAGCUUGCUACUUCUUGCUGGCGACCGGCGCACGGGUGCGUAACGCGUAUGCAACCUACCUUUAACAGGGGGAUAAUCCGAAGAAAUUUGGUCUAAUACCCCAUAAUAUUGAUUAAGGCAUCUUGAUCUAGUUGAAAGUUCCGACGGUUAACGAUGGGCAUGCGUUGUAUUAGCUAGUUGG